CGAAAUGAAACUCUGGGACGGAGUCGAGGGCCAAACUUAAUAUUUUUUGAAAAAGUGACGGCAAAUUUGCGCAUUUUCUUUAUCAACAUAUAUGCAAUUUUGAACCUUUUAAUUUGGAAACAAACAUAUUUCUGCAUUAACACUGAAUGUGGAAUAACCAAAUUACACACGAGCAAGUCCGUUUUAAAUAAAAGGCAUCAGUGGUAUUCAUUACUUGUGGUAUAAUCAGCAUUUUUAAAAUCUAUUCAGGAUUUAUGUUUUCUUGUUUAUUCAUUUUUCUUAUUUUUUAUUCUCCUUUUUUCUACUGUAAUAAGUGUCAUCGCUGCUGUGACGUCUAGCUUUCCCCACUGAGGAACAAUAAAGGGAUUUUCUAUUCUAUUCAUCUAUCUGCAGUUGUUCCUGUUUACUGUAGGUUAAAUCUUUUCUCACGGGCCAACAACAAAAUAAAAAUAUUAUUUUAUCUUAAAUGAAAAUGCAACAUUUCACCUGUUAACUUUCAUGUUUUGGAGCAGAAAAAGAGCAUAAAACCAACAUAUUUAAAGCUCAGUUUGCUCCACUGGUUUACUGUGAUGCUCACCUGUUCCAGCCAGAUACCUGCAACAUGGGGUUGAUCUGAGCUGAGGAGGAGACUCCUGUUGUUUUGUUCAUCUUCAUCAUAAUAAUGACAACAUUAGAUGACAACAGGUGCUCACAUAGGUUUGUGCUGCUGAACAUGUCUGAACAGCUUGACCACGUUGUUGUGUGUCGGGGAGGAAACACGACAGCAACCACAGAGUCAUGCUGGUUUGAGCGUGUCGCUGCUCGCUGGAGUUAUAUCAGCUCUGUCUGGAAGUUAGUUGGAAAACUUUCUCUUUCAGUCGUGAACACAUUACUGGGCGGUUAAAAUCUCCGUUUCUGGGCUUCAACGUUGGUAAAUAGCUGAGUAAACUCAGCGCUGAGUGAGAGGAGUGUUUAGUUUGUCCCAGACGGCAAAGCUGCAGACGCCGGCAGCAAAUGCUGGAAAAAACACAAAGGAGGGGGCGCUUCGGCUCCGCGCUAACGCUGCAAAGCAUCAUGGGAGUUGUAGUCUUUGCUGUGACAUCGGCCAGCGGGUCAGUUUUAAUAUAUUUUUGAUGGCUGUGUCUCGAUUCAGGGUCUGCAUCCUACGUCGGCCGGAUUCGUCGGCCGGUUACGUCACAGCGCCGCGACUAGGCCUGUCCCAAUUCGAAGACUCCUUCAAAUGCGGUCGACGAAUGCGGCCUUCUUUUCGCCUGAAUGAAGGAUGGGUCCGGUGUAUCCUUCAAUAGGUAGCAUUUCCCAAGAUGCCUUGCGGGCCGGCCGGCAGAAAAACUUAAAAACAACGGCAGACAGUGAAGCGGGAGCUGUCGGAGAGGAUUGCGCAUAUAAAUGAACAAAAGAGAAAACCAGGGAAUUUAUUAAGCUUAGGGCGGAGAUGGACCACAUGAUCACCGGAGCAAAGUAUUCGGCGGCUGUGGCAUGGAGACUAUUCUGGAGAAAAUGGGCAUCCAGGGGAAGGUGCCAGCGAUGACCAGCUUCUGGAGCUGAUCAGGGAGGACAUGAGGCUGCAGAGGGAGGCAGAGCAGCAGAGGGCACAGGAGAGAAGGAAGAACUUUGACAGCUUUUUACUUUGCUAGAAAAAAAUGGUUAAUAAAGAUUAAACAUGUACAUAUAAAAGAAAUAUCUAAAUAAAAUCAGUUCUGCAUUAAA